GCCUGGGUGGCUCAGUCGGUUAAGCGUCUGACUUCGGCUCAGGUCAUGAUCUUGCAGGUCGUGGGCUCGAGCCCCACAUCGGGGCU
rnacentral:tRNA from 1 species